ensembl:lncRNA
CUAAAUGUCAGUGGUUAGAGGUGUUGCUAAAUGGCAUUGGUCUUGGUUAGCGGUGUUGCUAGAUGCAGUGGUUAGCGGUGUUGCUAAAAGGCAGUGGUCUUGGUUAUUGGUGUUGCUAGAUGGCAGUGGUCUUCGUUAGAGGUGUUGCUAAAUGUCAGUGGUUAGAGGUGUUGCUAAAUGGCAUUGGUCUUGGUUAGCGGUGUUGCUAGAUGCAGUGGUUAGCGGUGUUGCUAAAAGGCAGUGGUCUUGGUUAUUGGUGUUGCUAGAUGGCAGUGGUCUUCGUUAGAGGUGUUGCUAAAUGUCAGUGGUUAGAGGUGUUGCUAGAUGGCAGUGGUCUUGGUUAGCAGUGUUGCUAGAUGCAGUGGUUAGCGGUGUUGCUAGAUGCAGUGGUCUUGGUUAGCGGUGUUGCUAGAUGGCAGUGGUCUUGGUUAGAGGUGUUGCUAGAUGGCAGUGGUCUUCGUUAGAGGUGUUGCUAGAUGCAGUGGUUAGCGGUGUUGCUAAAAGGCAGUGGUCUUGGUUAUUGGUGUUGCUAGAUGGCAUUGGUCUUGGUUAGAGGUGUUGCUAAAUGUCAGUGGUUAGAGGUGUUGCUAAAUGGCAUUGGUCUUGGUUAGCGGUGUUGCUAGAUGCAGUGGUUAGCGGUGUUGCUAA